rnacentral:lncRNA from 1 species
AUGGCUCAUGUAAAGAGGCCAGGAUCCACUUCAACAGCGCCCGGCCCUUCAGUCAAUCUUGCUACAAGACAAACUAAUCAAGAGACCAACCAAUGUCUGGUAAGGCAAGAGUGUGAAUCGAACAAAUGUGCUUCAAAGGAUGUCCAAAAUGAUCAGCUGACUGUCCCUCAACGCCAUUAUACCUCCUGUGUCCCCGGUCCCGAAGACAUGGAGGACACUGGGUCUGAGUAUGACAAUGUUGGUUCAGACGUUGAGCAAGACUAUGAUGAGGUCCUGCACUUACCAAGAGAGGGUGCUGUGGACAUGAGGUACUACAAACAGUACUGUACCGAGGAGGCUGGCUAUUUAAAGCACCAUGCAGUGACUGCGAAUAUUAAUGAGAACAGUGGUGCGGCAGGAGCAGCCCAAGACACCCAGGUAAAUCAGCCAUCGCAACCACAAACUCAGCCUUCCAAACCAGAACGCAGAUCGAUCCAGAGUGGCCCAAACGUUCGGGCUGCUGCAAAAUGCAAUGUAGGAAAAGGCCAGGAAAAUAGCUAUUUUUUCAAUGACGGAGACGACAUCGAAGAAGUGCUUGUGGGUGUGAAAUUUAUAGAAGAUUUAGAGGAGCAAGAGCCAAACACUUCUCAGAUGGGGGAGACGCGAGAGUGCUCUAAAAAUGAAUCUGUGGUUGAAACGGACAGAGGAGCAAGGAGCCAGAAAAUUCCUCAAUUAGAUAAAAAGUCAGACAUUAUAAAAGAGAAAAACGGUAAGGGCAGGGGGAGAAAGGGAAAUGGAGAGCACAUGGAGAAUACUAUUGGAAAACCAGGUAGUACCAUUAGUUCAGAUCAACGCCUGAGAAGCAACCACAAGCGGACUAGAGCCAGGACGAGCUCUGAUAAUAAUAAGCCACAUCCUCCUCCACCUCCUCGGCAUCCCCAUCCCCCGCCUCAGCCACCUGCCACUGCCCUGAAAAGAGAGUCACUCUCCUGCAGAGAGCCACCUCUGGUCCCCAUCAGUCAGGACAGUGCACCCCGGGUCACCAAACCGGCCCUGGCACUUCACCAAACCGCAGAACAGCAGGGCGAGCAUCUGGAGGAGAGGCAGAGAGAGCCGGAGGCAACACAGCAGGUAUGA